UGUCAAAUAAAAAAAAAUUAUUUUCCAAAAAAUUUAAAAAAACUGCAAAUGUUUUCAUCCUUUGGCGCUGAACUAUUUUUCCUUUCCCUCUCUUCUCCCAAAACCAGAUUUAACACAGUACCCUCUCAAAACCAGUACCCACAUCGAUCCAGACAACCCUUCUUCCUCUCAUCGUCGACCAAAACCAAUUUUCAUAUGAUCACAAAAAUGAAACCCUUCAAGCCCUAAACUAUCAUCUCAUCUUCUCACCGAACCCUUCAAACCCUAACCCUGUAAUCUCUACCCAUGGAUUCAUCUUAAUAGAAUCAUAACCCAUCAUCUCGUUCGAACUAAUCCACCAAACCCAUCAUCUCAACUUCUCAUCGAACCCUUUUCUGAAAGCGGCGAACUCGUAUGCAUUUCGUUUGAUUUGUUAUUACUGGGUUUGAAGGUAUUGAAUGCUGCGGCCUUUUUGCCUAAUCUAUGCUAAUAAGGUUCAAUGGAAUGCAAGAGGUCAACCAAUCAAGCAUAAGAACAAGGAUUUUGCUAGUUUCGUUGGUGUCACAGUUCUUCACUUAGUUCCGAUUGCUAACAUUGGUGUCACAUUUGGGAUGACAUUCAAUUCGAAGGUUGGAAGUUCUAGUCUUAAUCUGUGGCUAUGAGAGCUGGUCACUUUGGAAUUUUUUGGUUCGGCUGCUGUUGCGUGGGAUGGGCAGUGCUUCGGUUGGAAGUUGUUCCUAGUUUCUGCUGUUUUGUUGUCCUUGUUUUUUAGGUGAUAUUUCUUUUGUUAAGGGGAUAUGAGUAAAUUGUUUCGAAUUGAGCACCGUUGUAUUCUAUUGGAAAAUUUGGCUAUGUAAUACCCUUUUUUUUAUGUUAUCUGUAGACAGGUUUUGGAUCUUAUCAUAUUAUAUAUGCAAUAAGUAAAUAAAGUUUUAUUUGAUAUUGGAAA